ACAGAGACUAUAGUUUACCAAAAGAAUGACAUAUAAAACAACGCCAAGAGCCUCAGCUGAUAAAAAGCCUAGUGGAAAUAUAAGAAGCAAACGCAUUUCUGAUCUAAGAGUAAACUGCAAUAAAGUUACCACAAGGAAAACAAAGAUGAAAAACUUUCCAAAGUUGAGUGAUCGUUACAAAGACAGGUCUGAUACCAAAUUCAGUUAAACGUGCCUAAUGCCCCCACAUCAUCACACAGAGACUAUAGUUUACCAAAAGAAUGACAUAUAAAACAACGCCAAGAGCCUCAGCUGAUAAAAAGCCUAGUGGAAAUAUAAGAAGUGUUGAUGCACAAAACCGGAUGGUCUUGGAACAACGUAAAUCCGACCGUGAAUCUGCACAAACGCUCAAGAACACGAAGAACACAAAAGAACACAAGGAUUUUAUCGUGGUUCACCCCAAUGUUUGGGCUACGUCCACACUGUAGUUGAUUGUGUUUCUCUGUAUGUGUAUGGAUACAAGUGUUUGGGGAAGUCCCCCGGAGAAAGGAGGGUGAGGGAGAAGGAAGGAGAGCCUCUUGAAUUGUAUGAGUUCUCUCUCUCUCAAAGUAUGAGAGCUUUGAGCCUUGUAGGAUGGCUUGGCUAUUUGCCUCCCUUAGAAUGAGGGGAGGAGUCCCCUUUUAUAGAAUAAGGGGUUCCUCCUCUUUUACAAAGUAUGGGCUUUAGUGUGAGGCCCAAAUAUACGAGGCCCAAUAUAUGGUACCAACAGGAGUCCCCCAAGUCUUCAGUCAAAGGAGUCUUUUGGCUGGAGACUUCAAAUCCAAUCCAUGUACGGGCCGAAGUGGCUAGAUGUCCUGAACCAGUAUCAACCCAAGGUAAUGCUCAACAUAAAGCAAUACUCGGCUAGAGGUAUCACACGUUACGAGACUGCUCGGCUGGAGGCGAUACUCGUUGCGAGGCUGCUCGGCUAGAGGCUAUGCUCGUUGCGAGGCGGCUCGGCUCGUGGUAUUCCUCAUUGCAAGUAUCUACUUUAUGUCGACAUGCACUCAGUAUGAGUUGAUUCUCGACAUGACUCGGGUCUGCUUGUCGGGUUCGCAUAUUGGGUCUAUGUGUCGGAUCCGCGGAUCGGGUCCGCAAGUCGGAUCUUUGAAUCGGGGCCAUACGUAGGGGCAUCGAGUUGGGACUAUCUGUAGGGUCAUCGAGUUGGGUCCAGGCACAUAGGUGUCCCAAUAAGCGAAUGUCCGAGCAAGUGGGUGUCCGGUCAGACAAGAGAUCACCACAAGCACGUGGCUCAUCAGUCUAUAAGUUGGUAGACCUCGUUAAUCAGCAACAAUGUUGAUCAGUGGACCUAGUUGCUCAAUAAUUCCUGACAAUAAAUGACAGUAUAAUCAUGAGCGUAUAAUGAAUAAAUAUAAUAAAUACGUAAAGAAAAUAUGGUAACAACAAUUAUUUAAUAUGUAUAUUUCUUAUAAGUGUAAAACCUUGCCAUGCGUAUUAUAGCAUAGUUUUAGGUUAUAAAAGUGGAUUAGUUCUUUUGGAUUUGAGCUGAUAAUUUCAACAUAAUUUAAAAUGCAUGGGUGUGGCAACCCACAUCCACUUUCAGCAUCUGUUGUAAACCCACCAUCUGGUCAAGCUUCCUCUUCAUGUUUGUAGCAUAGUCAUGGGCGAGCCGGUGCAACUGCUUAUUCUCAUGCUUGAGCCCUCUAAUCUCCUGUUUGAGACUCAUCACUUCAGCAGCCAAUGAUUCAACUUGGCGGGUUCUAGCAAAUAGGCGUUGGGCCAUAUUAGACACAGAACCUGCACACUGAACACUAAGAGCCAGAGAGUCCUUAACAGCCAACUCAUCAGACCGUUUGGAAAGUAGUCUGUUAUCUUUGGGAGUGAGAAGGUUCCUGGCCACCACUGCAGCGGUCAUAUCAUUCUUCAUCACAGAAUCCCCAACGGUAAGAGGACCAGUAGGGGAUAUGAAGGAUGGGCGCCAUAUGUUGUCUGGAGAAGGCGUGGCUGUCUCUUCUCCAAGGUUCAAGUCAAAACGACGGUCGGAGGGUCCAGACAUUUUCAAAUGUGUUGAAGAAGGAAGAGGUCAGACAAAUCAAGAUCUUAGAAGUGCAAGAAAUGAGCUUCUACUACUGGUAGAGAUUCAAGUAUGCUGUGGAACUUAAUGCCAGCCUCUAUAAAAAUCUGCACUCGACGGAGCUUCAGAAAUCGAAGAGGCGUUUGCUUUCUCAAAAGCUGGGCUGCUCAGAGACCACGAGGGCCGAUCUCAGAAAUCGAAGAAGCACCUGCUUUUGCAGCCUCGUCAGCACCUGUCACAUGCACAAUCAGCUUUGCGGAAAUUACGGGCAAUCUGUCGAAGAUUUCUGGUGAAGCAGAAAGCACGUGAAUCUUACUGAUCAAUCACCGCUCUCCAUAUGCACCAUCAACUCCUCGGGUACCACAUAUAACUUUGUCAAAGAUCUCUGACAAAGUUUAGGCACGAGAAUUUCGAAGUGCCAGCUACCCUACUAUUACCCAUAAGGGUAAAGGAACAGCACCACUGCUUGACAACUGGAAAGUCCCUAUGUGUGUCGACCUCCGUGUUUUGUGGCAAGACAGGUUGGCAAGAACGACCAACCUUUACUCACAUUCGAGAAAAGACUCCCAACAUAAUUACUUUCUCAAAAACCGGAGUAGCACCGCUUUCCGAAUCUCGAGAGUCAGAUCCUCGACGGGAUUGCUUGUUCGAAAACCGAAGAGGCACAACUCUCAGAACUUCGAGAGCCAGAUUUCCUUAGAUAAAGCUUGUCUGUAAUCUCCACACGUAAUAUCAGCUUUCCAGAUACCACAUACCACUUUUUCAAAGUGCUCUGACAAAAUUAAAACACGUGAAGCUGGCAGCUCCCACUACAUUGCUGUGACCAAGAAGGGUAAAGGAAUAGCAUUACUACUUGUUAUUGGGAAAUCCCUAUAUACAUUGACCUCCCUCCUCAACAGACAGGCAAACCUGCAAAAAUGCUCAACCCUUUCUCACAUUCGAAAAGGCACCCUCAACAUAACCUCUCGAAAUACUCAGCUUUAUUUCCCCCCGAUAAUACCUCAGCAAAUAAGCCACACCAAGAACAAGAGUAUCUCAUAUCAUCAGGGUCGAAAGCAAGAGUAUCCCAUAUCAUGCUUUCUCCCUGUCUUUGUCUUUGUCCUUGUCCACACCUGCAGGACAAGGAGAAAGAGAGCAGUCAGUCGGAACCUGAAAUCAAACCUCCAAUUUGGAACUGACUGCCUGGAGCCUUUGCCUGGUUGCUUACUUAGCAUUGCUCUCGAGUACUCAUCCUCAACUGCUGUCAAGGUCACGAAUUCCACCGGCAAAUACCUCAUGACAGUUGAUCAGAUAUUGGCUCUUUACACUGAAGCUGCCAAGCAUGGAUGAGUCACUAUGAAGGAAUGUUCUGAAGGACCAUUUAAAUGCAAAGGUUGCACACCACUUCUGCCAUGCAAAAGAUUGAAGCAGAAGGUUCAACGGUGAGCUGAAACAGAUCACUACAGCACGACACCUUUCCAUACCACAUUCAUUAUUCCGUCAACAGCAAAAGUAUCCCAUAUCAUCAAGGUCGAACGUACUCUAGAUUUGAUGGACUUGUUUUGACCCUCAAAUUUUUGAGUCGGCCUUAUACUCUGAAGGGCACCAGAAAACCCUCCAGCACAGUUCAAGAAUAAGCCUGUGGAAAGUUACUUCUUCAAAAGCAAAAGUAUCUCAUAUCAUCUCUUAUCCAUUUGCUUCUCCUUAUCCUGGCAGUUGAAUGAGAGACAAGGAGAAUGAGAACAAUCAACCGGAAGCCGACGUCAAACCUCUGAUCCUGGGUUGCUUACUUGGAAGUUUGACUGCUUACCUUGUCUGUCACCUCUUUCGGCAGAUCUCCUAGCUCGGCGACUUGGGGGACUCCUACUAUAGGGUUUGUAUCACACUUGACUAAGCCCGAAACUACAACUAAGCUUCAAGUGAAAUUGAUACAUUACCUUGUGCGUCAACAUCAGCUAAGUACACCAUUCCCGGAUGGAGGAAAGGUAUUUCCAGAGAAGGGCAGAUGAAGAUCAGACCACACUUCGGUACUUAGAAGUUUCGUGAUUACUCAAGGGAUUGGAUCUUGCAAGUCCCCAACCGAGGAGUUUCCCUCACUCGGGAACUUAGGGGAGCACUGUUUGUACCAUACUUGACCAAUCCCGAAACUACCGAGCACCGGCCAACGCUAUACUGUCAAGGACCCAGAAGAGUUCCCCUCCGACCAGGAGGCCAAUCACUACUCGACACGUGUCAAGAUUAGAAGCCAAUCAGAGCGCAGCACGUGUCAACAUCAAGAACCAAUCAUAACAUGACACAUGUCAAUGUGACAAAGCUACAAGUUUUUCUAUAAAUAGGGGUCAUUCCCCCACAAUAUUGCCUAAUGCCAUUUUGUGUUAAAUCAUUCACAAGAACUCACUAAAUUGAGGGCUUGAUCCUUUGUACUUGUGUAAGCCCUUCACUACUAAUAAGAACUCCUCUACUCCGUGGACGUAGCCAAUCUAGGUGAACCACGUACAUCCUGUGUUUGCUUCUCUGUCUCUAUUCAUUUACGUACUUAUCCUCACUAGUGACUGAAGCAACCAAGCAACCAAGCGAAGGUCACAAAACCUGACACUUUCUGUUGUACCAAAGUCUUCGCUGAUUUUGUGCAUCAACAAGAAGCAAACGCAUUUCUGAUCUAAGAGUAAACUGCAAUAAAGUUACCACAAGGAAAACAAAGAUGAAAAACUUUCCAAAGUUGAGUGAUCGUUACAAAGACAGGUCUGAUACCAAAUUCAGUUAAACGUGCCUAAUGCCCCCACAUAUAAACACAUAUGAAAUUCUAUGCAAUGAAGGCGUAUAAGCAGGGGUGUCAGACAUUACUUUCUUUUGGACCAUUGAAUUCCACAUUGAAUUCAUUUAGCCCAUCGUUUAUUGUCUCCACAUUAUAGUCACUCAUCAUCCUGAAAAUCAUUGAGAAAAGAAAGGAAAACAAAAGCAUUAGAAAUAGUGUUCCAAACCUCUAUAUCAUACCAGAGAUGAAGUUAGCAACCUGAUUCUACAUCUACCAAAGAGACUGUAGAUACCCAUUUGGUAAACCAAAGGGAGAAAUCCAACCUUAAGAAACACAGAAUGCUAAGGUUAGAGGUAUUAUAGUAACAAACAACUUACAACUUCAUGACAUCCAUCUCUCUCCGCUUGCUUGGAGAAGACAUCUUAGCUUAUUAAAAUUAAAUUCCCAAACCUGUCACAAGAAUACUAAAGUAAUCAACUUUUCAAGGAAAUAAAAUUCAAAGAAAUUAAAUAACCAUAGGGUCUGGUGGGUUAGCUAGAUAUAUUGUAUAAUGGUUGAAACUAAAACAGUCUAAUAUACAAGAAAAAGGGUACACUGACCUUCCAGAAAUCAACAAGAAUCGCAAAAAUAAAGGGUGAUGUAGAAGCAGAAGUAACAAAAACAUGAGAUUUUAAUCGAUGUCCAAAAUCAAGGUAAACACAUAUAUGUAGAUUACAUAAACAAAAUCAGUGAUACAAUCUAAACAAGUUAAAAGUCUGCUUAAACAGGGAACUGUUCUUCACAAACCAUGACCAUCAAAGAAACAGACCUAUGUUACAUUAUUAAUCAUACCAGUCUAUAUAUGUAGUAGUGCGUUUUGUUAGAUACUUUUAUACUCAUUGGAUGAUGCAGCAGAAAGAAAGCCACCUCAAUUAAAACUAACAGAGUGUCUCCGUGCGUUAGUUCAACAGAACCAAUCAACAGGACAAAGUAGAAAAAUAAAAAAUGAUAUUAGAGCUUAGAUUUCCACAAGUGCAACUUAAGGGUCACAGGACCAUCUUCCAGAUGACAGGUAAAGCUUGUCAAGACACCAACUGCCUGUGAACUAACAGCAUAUCCUACAAAACUAAACCACCGAGUCGAAAGCCUUCAAAGACCACUUUUUUGAAGUAAUUUAAACAGGUUUUUUGUUACAUAUACUAACACCAAAUUAGCUCAUAGUACGACAAUGACAUCAGAUUGCAGAAUCUAAAUGCAUUGCCUGUACCUCGCCCCGAAGUACAAACUAAGACCUCUCCUUAAAAUGGUCUUUGCCUCCCCUAAAGUUGGACCACAACCAUAACAAGCUACCAUCAAACUGACUAGCUCAACUUGGAUAGUAAGUCCCUAAACAAAAAGCCAAAAGCUCGGUUCCUUGCAAUUCGAUAUACUACAUUGCCAAGCUAACAUAUUUUAUCAUCCGAAAGUUUGUUAAUGCAAGCAUACUUAUGGGAAAUCUUGGAAAAUCACACUCAUGGGGGGAUUAAAUUUUAAAAUUCGGCCAUCACAAUAUGAUCAGACAAAUGCAAUGCCACUGUUUUCUGCAUAGAAUAAUGAAGAUACAAACUUUGAGCAAUGAUAGGAUUCCAAAAUUUCUUCUUUCCAAAUUAUUAGACAUACCCAGUGACGCAUACAACCCCCUCCAAAAAUUUCACCAAAAAAUUUCAUUAAAAUUGAAAAGAUUUUGUGAAUCAAUUUCAUAAGCGUUUGUGAAGUCUAACAAUUAAAAGAAAGCUGCAAUCUUUUGAAGAUCUAAGACCUACCCAGAAAACCAUAUACAAAGAAAAGAGAAACAGUUUUGUUCCUGGAGAUUGUCAAUGAAAAAUAAAAAUAAAAUAGCGAGAGAGGAUCGGAACUGGGUAUCUUACACGAGCUACUUAUUUAACGGGGCGACCCUUUUCUUGUCCGCUUGAAGAUUUUCCCGAGAAACAAACAGAAAAUUGAGAAAAUAUGAGAAAAUAUGGAAUUGGAGAAGAAACUACGGGUAGGAGUGGAGGGAGGAGGUGGAGGGUGAGAGGGAGAGAGAGUUGGAGGUGGGGUGAAUGUCGACACGCACGUGUUCAAAUGAUAGUGUUAUUACGUGGCAAGCAAGAGAAACAACUAGUAAUAAGCCACGGUUAUCAUCCCUUUCAGGAACCGAUAAGACUCGUAAAGGUAUUUCAGUCUCGCUGACCACAAGCAAGACUUGAGGUGGUCUCAAAUUAAAAUUUUAUGUUGUGGUUGCAAAUAUAAAUUUGAUUGAUAAUUACAGAGUAAAGUUUAAUCACCAAUUAUAAUGGUAAACCCAAAAACUAAUUAUGGUAUAUUGUUGUAGUUAUUUAUUUAUUUAUUUUCCUUGUUCAUUGAACCAUAACAUUUUAUUUAUAUGGACCGUUUUAAUCACUAAUUCUCUAUGUUACUAUUAUUAAUUUUUGGCAAAACUAUUAUUAAUUUUUGUUGAAAAUAUUGUAAUUUGUUUUAUUUUGUUGAAAAUAUUUUAAUUUGUUAAAAUAGUGGGAUGUGCAUUUCCAUUUUUUAUAAAAUAACUCCAUAGUUAAUCAAAUAAUUGAAUGAAACCAAUUACUGAUUUUACUUUAUUCACCACAAGAUGGCCUAGUGGCUGUAAACGAAUUCCAGACCCGUAUUUUACAUAGCACGCCCUG
rnacentral:lncRNA from 1 species